GAUGAAGAACGCAGCGAAAUGCGAUACGUAAUGUGAAUUGCAGAUUUCAGUGAAUCAUCGAAUCUUUGAACGCACAUUGCGCCCGCUAGUAUUCUGGCGGGCAUGCCUGUUCGAGCGUCAUUUCAACCAUCAAGCCCUAGGCUUGCGUUGGAGCCCUGCGGCUGCCGCAGACUCCCAAAUCCAGUGGCGGGCUCGUCGUCGUACCGAGUGCAGUAAACAUCCUCGCUCAGGGAACGUGACGGGUUCUUGCCGUGAAACCCCCCACAUAUCAAGGUUGACCUCGGAUCAGGUAGGAAUACCCGCUGAACUUAAGCAUAUCAAUAAGCGGAGGA
rnacentral:misc_RNA from 1 species